AAGGGUGACCAGCUCAUCCUAAUUUGCCUAGAAUUUUCCUUGUUUCAGCAAAGUCACAUUUCUAAGGAAUUUCUGAAUCCUGGGCAAACUGGAACAGCUGGCUACCCUACUUCCAA
rnacentral:miRNA from 1 species